rnacentral:lncRNA from 1 species
AUAUAUAUAUAUACAUAUAUAUUGCUGCUUACUUCUUUUUAUUCCUCUCUUCAUUUUUUCAUUCUUCCGGAGAGGAGGCGGCGCUAGGAGGCUGAAAAAGGCAGUUGUAGAGAUAUUUACAACAAUACAAACCGGGCUUCCUCAUCUAGGACAUGACUCAUUUUCUCUCUCUUUUUCUCUUUUCUCUUCCCCCUAGUCACUCUCUCUCUCUAUCAUUUCCAGGGGAGAAUGCGGAAGUCGCUCUCUUACGUAAUCGGGUUCCAAUGACUCGGUACGACUUCUACUGCCAUGCCAAGCCGCCAUAUCAUACAUACAACUAAUGAGGAUAAUCGUCGAUUGAUAUUAAUGAUUAAAACUGAAAAGGUGUCAUAGCACCUAAGUAAAUAAACAUUAUAGCCAUAGGUUAAUCUACUUUAUUAUCAUAUGUACUCCUCAUUCUACGAACUGCGGCCGCAAGUGGGAGUUUUCAUUCAGAAACACAUGUCAGUUCACUAUACCGUAUACGUUGUUGCUAGUCUUAUUUACAUCACAUCAUAAUUCUUAAUUAAUAAGUAAAGGACACAGUAUUCAUAUAAAAAUGUUCUGUUUCCUGUGACUCAGUCCUUCCAGGAUUUUAAUGACACCUGAAUCCCAGUAAAAAAUGAAAUCGUAAUUAGUAUUAUAAUAUUGGUAUCAUUGCUUUUGAGUAUGAAACAUAGUUUAACAAUAAUACUUAUUAAACGAUUACAUUUGGGAAAGAUACACUGAAUAAAUAUUAAUUUUAAUCAAUCGUUCUUCAUUUAGUCGAAUCGUUUUGACAAUUAAUAUCUAUUAAUGUCUUACGUUAGUAAUAUUUUAUCCAAAAAAAAAAAAUCAACCAAAUUUCAAAGUCGAGAUACUGGGAAUACAAACAUAAACUUGUUUCGAAAAACGAAGUAAGUCAUUUGCUUUGUUUAGUUAAUUUCUCAAAAGACUUUGUCGAAGAUUCGGAUGAACAAAAGUUAUUCAAAUUAUGUCCUUUGUCAGAAUUUAUAAGUUAACAUGAAUUAGUGCUCAAUUAUUUAAAGAGUUAUUCAACUUUGUAUCUAUAAGAUUCGUUAUAAUUUAUAAUGUACCAAUGUUUUGUAUAGUGUACCAAUAUUCCAGAAUAACUGCGCCUGUAAAAUAUUAAUUAUUAAAAUGAUGUAGGUACAUGCUCAUUGAUAUCCCAUGCAUGUUCAUUUAAUUGCAGCUUUUAAUUCCUCUUAUAAUUAAUAAUCACUAAUUGAAUAAAAAUCCUCUUGAACAACCAA